AGAGUUUGAUCCUGGCUCAGAUUGAACGCUGGCGGAAUGCUUUACACAUGCAAGUCGAACGAUGAACCUUAGCUUGCUAAGGGGAUUAGUGGCGAACGGGUGAGUAAUAUAUCGGAACGUGCCUUGUAAUGGGGGAUAACUAGUCGAAAGAUUAGCUAAUACCGCAUACGCCCUGAGGGGAAAGUAGGGGAUCUUCGGACCUUACGUUAUAAGAGCGGCCGAUAUCUGAUUAGCUAGUUGGUGGGGUAAUGGCCUACCAAGGCGACGAUCAGUAGCUGGUCUGAGAGGACGACCAGCCACACUGGAACUGAGACACGGUCCAGACUCCUACGGGAGGCAGCAGUGGGGAAUUUUGGACAAUGGGCGCAAGCCUGAUCCAGCCAUUCCGCGUGAGUGAAGAAGGCCUUCGGGUUGUAAAGCUCUUUCGCAAGGGAAGAAAACUUACUUUCUAAUAAAGAGUGAGGCUGACGGUACCUUGAUAAGAAGCACCGGCUAACUACGUGCCAGCAGCCGCGGUAAUACGUAGGGUGCGAGCGUUAAUCGGAAUUACUGGGCGUAAAGCGUGCGCAGGCGGUUUGGCAAGUCAGAUGUGAAAUCCCCGAGCUCAACUUGGGAACUGCGUUUGAAACUGCCAGACUAGAAUAUGUCAGAGGGGGGUAGAAUUCCACGUGUAGCAGUGAAAUGCGUAGAGAUGUGGAGGAAUACCAAUGGCGAAGGCAGCCCCCUGGGAUAAUAUUGACGCUCAUGCACGAAAGCGUGGGGAGCAAACAAGAUUACAUACCCUGGUAGUCCACGCCCUAA
rnacentral:rRNA from 1 species